rnacentral:rRNA from 1 species
UACGGAGGGUGCAAGCGUUAUCCGGAUUCACUGGGUUUAAAGGGUGCGUAGGUGGGCAGGUAAGUCAGUGGUGAAAUCUCUGGGCUUAACCCGGAACUGCCGUUGAUACUAUCUGUCUUGAAUAUAGUGGAGGUGAGCGGAAUAUGUCAUGUAGCGGUGAAAUGCUUAGAUAUGACAUAGAACAUCGAUUGCGAAGGCAGCUCGCUACACUAUGAUUGACAACUGAGGCACGGAAAGCGUGGGGAUCAAACAGG